rnacentral:rRNA from 1 species
GACCGGGACGGACGAACCUCUGGUGUGCCAGUUGUAUCGCCAGGUGCAUGGCUGGUUGGCUACGUUCGGGAAGGAUAACCGCUGAAGGCAUCUAAGCGGGAAGCUUGCCUUGAGAUGAGGUCUCCCUCCCACUUUGGUGGGGUAAGGCUCCCGGUGGAUGACCGGGUUGAUAGGCUGGUGGUGGAAGCGUUGUGAGGCGUGGAGCUGACUGGUACUAAUAGGCCGAGGACUUGACCACAACAAA